rnacentral:rRNA from 1 species
CUGGUCCUACGGGGGGCAGCAGCCGCGGUAAUACGUAGGGGGCAAGCGUUAUCCGGAUUUACUGGGUGUAAAGGGAGCGUAGGCGGCAAGGUAAGCCAGAAGUGAAAGCCCGCGGCUCAACUGCGGGACUGCUUUUGGAACUAUCUAGCUAGAUUGCAGGAGAGGUAAGUGGAAUUCCUAGUGUAGCGGUGAAAUGCGUAGAUAUUAGGAGGAACACCAGUGGCGAAGGCGGCUUACUGGACUGUAAAUGACGCUGAGGCUCGAAAGCGUGGGGAGCAAACAGGAUUAGAAACCCUAGUAGUCCA